GAAGAAUCCAGCCACAGGCCCACACUGAGUGUCAAAGCUGUCCCUUCCUCAUGCCAAAAUGUUAUGUUUGAACUAUUCCUGAUGGAAAGCUUUCUACCCUCAUAAACAGGGUAGGCCUAAUAUUGGAAUUUUUCUUAAUGAUUCAGAAACACCAAGAAGUAGACAGGAUGUAAGUUAAAGAUCUAGAAGCUGAGACAUCAUGAAUUGGUUUCAUCAUGUUCCUCAGCGAAACACAGGCCACUGUGUCCCAGCCCAUUGCUCUCCUUGAAAUGAAAGGAAAAGUCAUGACAUUUUAAGAGAGAGGAGAAAUCAGUUUCAGUUGCCUCAGCUAUGAACAGAGGAUAACAGCAUGGAUGCAUUCCCCAGGUGUGCUUUGAAGAAUAAGCCAAUGACUGAAAAGCAAUUUGAAAAUGUAAACUGAAAUGCUAUAUAUAAAUGUUA
rnacentral:lncRNA from 1 species